CAUGCCGUAAACGAUGAAUGCUAAGUGUUGGAGGGUUUCCGCCCUUCAGUGCUGCAGCUAACGCAUUAAGCAUUCCGCCUGGGGAGUACGACCGCAAGGUUGAAACUCAAAGGAAUUGACGGGGGCCCGCACAAGCGGUGGAGCAUGUGGUUUAAUUCGAAGCAACGCGAAGAACCUUACCAGGUCUUGACAUCUAGCGCCAAUCCCAGAGAUGGGACGUUCCCUUCGGGGACGCUAAGACAGGUGG
rnacentral:rRNA from 1 species